GUACAGUGAGUGGAAGUCACAGGUAAGGAACAGUGAGGAAAAUAACCUGUAGGUUUCACAGGAAUGAUCUACCAAGAACCACUGCAUGUACCACUGUGGUAGAAGUUAAGGAGUCUUCAUAGGAUGCUGGAUGAAGGCUGGAUACUUCUAUAUCAGCAGAAUGCUUUGUUUUAUGGCCUCUUGAUGCUGCCUUUGGCGUAGCCCCCAGACCUGUUUUUCAUCAAUACAGAGAACAGUAGUCCCUGAAGCAUCUGCUUAAGGUCCUGAGAGGCUUCUCACAGAAGAAAACCUCAUGGUAUGCUGUCCACAGACAAGUAGGCUGUAUCAUCUAUGAAGGAAAGAAGCUGUUCCUGCUCAUAGUUCUUCAGGUCUAUGCAGGAUGCCAGCCGCUCCUCAGCUCUGGUGAGGGUCUCAUGGAGAACAACACAAGGAUGCGCCAGAAAUGUGUCCACGAGAGGUCACAUGCCUGACUCUGCAUUUAAGCUCACCAAGCUGUGGAGCUUUGGAGAACACCUGGUUAUAAAGAGCAGAGAGGAAGUGUGGAAAGCUACAGAGAACUCGAGCCUGUCCACCACAGCUGUAGCCGGAGCCAGAGGUAACCUUGCAGGUGUCCAGAUGGGAGGGCGAGCAGAACCACUCAACACUCAGGUGGACGUCCAUACUCAGUGGUGGAUCCAGGAACUUCAGAACAGGUAAGUGACUUUGAGAGCCCCUGCAGUAGUUUGGACAUGGUUGAAAAGUAAACAGAUGCAGCUGUCCAAAACAGAAGAAAAGAGAUUCUCCUCUGACAAUUGUUAGAUGUCAUCUCUUGGAUGUCUUCAUCCCUGGAAAAAGUAAUAGUCUAUAAGAAACUACUCGAUCUCAGCUCAUCUAAUCAGAUAGAAGCCAAACUACACUGAGGAGCCAUUCUCUCACCUCAUCAAUCUUGCACAAGAAUGAUUUAAUUGUCUCCUCAAUGUAUGUCAUUCAUGGGAAAAAUUCUGUGUUCAAUAACAUCAGCUGCAGAAGCUGGGAGUCCUAUUAAAGUUAUAUUAGACACA